rnacentral:pre_miRNA from 8 species
CUCUCGCUGUACGUGUUCACAGUGGACCUUGAUUUAUUGUAUUUCAAUUAAGGCACGCGGUGAAUGCCAACAGCACAGCC